rnacentral:lncRNA from 1 species
GGAUUGAUUUGGGUAGAGGUUCAAAAGAACCUAGUUCCAAGUCAUGGAUAAAAAUAAUAGGGUAUUUCCAUGACUGGAACUACACCGUUCAUGCCGAAGGGGGCAAAGGGAAGGGAUAAAGAAAAGCAUCUACAAAAACACGAGGAAAGCAAGAAAGCAUAACAAACUAAGGGUGCAAAAGCAUAAGUAACGAGAGCAUAACAGACUGGAUGAACACAUAGUGCAAGAGAGCAUGGCAUAAAAUAAACACAUAGUUUAGAGGGUAUUAUUUAACUAGCGGGACAUAGCAGUUGCAGGUUUAGAACAGCAAACAACAAAAGCAAACAAAUAGCCAGCAGUCAGCAGGAUCAAUUCCUCCGCAAGUAUUGAGAGUUCAAGGGGAGCUCAAGAAUGCUCCAAACAGUAAAGAGAAAAGGAACAGGGUGCUCAGUAAAGAAAGUAAUAGUAUAGAAGGUAUUUGAAAGUUAGAAAUAUUCAAAAAUGUGUUCUUAAUCUAAAGUCUUUGUGUGUGUUAUAGCCAAGGUAUCCCCAAGUGCAGAAGGAGUUCUGUCUUUUAUAAUGCAGAAAACGAGUAAUCAAGGUAAGAAAAUAACUUUCAGUCAAUCAUAUAAAGAUCUCCCCUAGGUUAAGGGAUUUGAUUUCAAACGGGCACGGUACAAUUAAGGAAAUAAGAAUAAUUAGAAAUCUUUACAAAGUAUCAUAACAAGGGUAGGUACACAGAGUUUAUUUAAGGCAAGAAUCCUAUAGUACACGGUCUGAGAAAUAACGAAAGCAAAUCAAUCAGACAUCCAGAAAUUUAAAACCUUGUUUGCAUGAACUUUGUCAGAAAAGGAGGAGGAAAAGGUUUAGUUGGGAAAUCAGUAACAAUCACUCAAGCCUUAGUAAUAGGAAAUUGGAAUCAAUCACAAGUUGGCAGAACCAUUUUGAAAGGAAGGCUCUCAUAUAUAAAUCAUACAUGUAUCAAAUAAGAAAGAAAACACUGCAUAUAAAGUUUUCAAAUCACAAACAAAAGGAUUCCAUUUCAGUCAUAGACUAGCAUGGGUUUGAGAGAAUCCAGGGUUCUAGAGUAGAACCCCAGUCCAGUCACAAAGACCAAAACUUGCAAAAAUCCCAAACCUAGGGUUUCAGUUCGAGUAGGAUAUAGAGAGGCGAAGGCAAGCCCUCAAAAUAGAUUCAGGGAACUCUUUUCGAGUCUUGUGAGAAAGCACAGACACACAAACCAAGUUCGAAGCAGUAGAGAGGAAAAUCAUAAAGAACAGGUUUGAGAGAAAGCUUCGAACUCAAGCAAUUUUAGGAGAGAAAAGAGGUGACAUAGAACUUAGGAGACAUUAGAAAAAUAGUUUUAGAACCCAAACAAAGAUCCAGUAAAGGCAAUCAAAACGCAAUAAAAAAAUAGUAAAGGAGCACGUAAGAUAGACAUGUAAAGCAUGAUGUAGAAAACCAAUAGAAGGAAUAACAGAGCACAAAUAGAGAAACAUGCAUAUUAACGAAAAAACAUAAGAACAAGCAAGAACACAUAAGACACG